UAUGAAAAAUAAAUAAGGAAAGAAAAACUGCCACAGACUUACCGAUAAGUUGAUCACCGCUCUUUGACUCAACAAGACUUUUGAGGACUCAUGCUUCCCGAAGAACUUGAAAAAGCUAAAUUAGCAAAAAGGCUAAGCUUUCAAGAAUUUUUCUCAAAUUGAUUGUAAUUGAUGUGUUUACAACUUGUGGGCAAAUACCUAUUUAUAACCUUUCUCGGGUGACGCGAGAGGAUUUAGAGAAGAUCGAAUCAACUCCUAUAACCCACUC
rnacentral:lncRNA from 1 species